rnacentral:rRNA from 1 species
GACGAACGCUGGCGGCGCGCUUAACACAUGCAAGUCGAGCGAGAACCAGGGCUUCGGCCCUGGGGACAGCGGCGAACGGGUGAGUAACACGUGAGUAAUCUGCCCUCGGCACCGGGAUAGCCCGGGGAAACCCGGAUUAAUACCGGAUAGCCUCCGAAGCCUUCGGGCGUCGGAGCAAAGGUAGCUUUGGCCUCUGGCCGAGGAUGAGCUCGCGGCGGAUUAGCUUGUUGGUGGGGUAAUGGCCCACCAAGGCGACGAUCCGUAGCUGGUCUGAGAGGACGAUCAGCCACACUGGGACUGAGACACGGCCCAGACUCCUACGGGUGGCUG